GAAAGCCCGGGGCUUAACCCCGGAAGUGCAUUUGAUACUGUCAGGCUUGAGUAUGGCCAGAGGGAAGUGGAAUUCCUGGUGUAGAGGUGAAAUUCGUAGAUAUCAGGAGGAACACCGGUGGCGAAGGCGACUUCCUGGACCAAUACUGACGCUGAGGUGCGAAGGCGUGGGUAGCAAACAGGAUUAGAUACCCUGGUAGUCCACGCAGUAAACGUUGNUCACUAGGUGUAGCGGGUAUUGACCCCUGCUGUGCCGCAGUUAACGCAUUAAGUGANCCGCCUGGGGAGUACGGCCGCAAGGUUAAAACUCAAAGGAAUUGACGGGGGCCCGCACAANCGGUGGAACCAUGUGGUUU
rnacentral:rRNA from 1 species